AGAAUCAACGCUGGCGGCGUGCCUAACACAUGCAAGUCGAACGAGAAAGUGGAGCAAUCCAUGAGUAAAGUGGCGCACGGGUGAGUAACACGUGACUAACCUACCCUUGAGUGGGGGAUAACCUAGGGAAACCUGGCUAAUACCGCAUAAUACCUUCGGGUCAAAGGAGCAAUUCGCUUUAGGAGGGGUCGCGGCCGAUUAGUUAGUUGGCGGGGUAAUGGCCCACCAAGACUGUGAUCGGUA
rnacentral:rRNA from 1 species